AUCUAUGACCAUGCCACCCUGAAUGUGCCCCAUCUCACCUGAUCUCAGAAGCUAAGCAGUGUCGGGCCUUGGAUAGUACUUGGAUAGGAGACUACCUAGGAAUACCAUGUGCUGUAUGCG
rnacentral:rRNA from 1 species